GGGGAUUUAGCUCAGUGGUAGAGCGCUUGCCUAGCAAGCACAAGGCAAGGUUUGGUCCCCA
rnacentral:tRNA from 1 species